AUGAUGGCUAGGAAAAGGGAUAUACGGGAAUUGAGAGAACCUAAUACUCCAUUCAUUGUACUCAUGUACAAGGAAACUUUAUUGGCUACUAACGAUUUACCCUCAACUCUUCCUAGUGUUGUUUUUGAUCUUUUGCAGGAGUAUGAGGAUGUGUUUCACAAGGAGGUACCCCCUGGUUUGUCACUCAAGUGGGGCAAUGAGCACCAAAUCGACAUAGUUCCGGGCGCCCCACUACCAAACCGACCACCGUACCGAGCAAUCCCCAGAGGAGACGAAGGAAAUUCAGAGGCAAGUAGAAGAUCUUCUUAA
rnacentral:rRNA from 1 species